rnacentral:sRNA from 1 species
CUGAUGAAUCAUCAGAUUCGUACAUCGACGAAAUCUUUAGGAAAACAUCCAUUGUCAAGACUAUUGUCAAGUGCCGAAAGGGAAGAAAAAGUCACCACCAUGUCAAGCAGGUAGAGCGCUCGUGAGAAACAAGAUGGCGAAACAGUCCCACAACGUCAGUCCUUUGCCUCAACUUCUGUUCUUGCAUGUAGCAGCACCUUGGAGAUAGGUUCGCCGGCCAGUAGUACCAGUUGUUUAAUAGGACCAGCAUCGUGGCCACUUUUCAAGUUGAGAAAGAUUGAGCUUCAGCAGGAAAAAAUCUUGGAGGGACAGAAGGAAAUCAACGCUAAAUACUCUCUGAAAGUAAUCCAUCGCAAAAGAAAGGAAAUAAGAAAGUUAAAAUAUGUGUACCCAGCCAAGUACAUAUUGCUGUGCAUGAUGGAUACUCCCAUGGAAUUUCCCUAGGAUUGUAGUGAAAAAUGAAAUCUGAUGAUGGAAACCAAAUAUUGAAAUGCAAUAAACAGAUAUUUCCUGUCUAUGCAAGAUAAAGGAAGGAGAGAGUCGAUUCUUUCAAGAAAGGAAUGGAUCUGUAUCAAAGGAAACAAGGAAAAUGGAAGUUAUACUAUAGUCAGGCUGUCAGGCUGUAUUUAAUCAAAAGACCUCCUGGGAUGAGGAGAAAAAGAAACAAGUAGAACCUGUAUUUCUUGUCGAGUACUUGAUGAUGUCAUCAGAAUAUGAAAAUGAUUGGGAAGAUGACACAAUAUAUGAAAUCACAUCUCUAAAGUGGCGCUCUGAUGAAUGUUUAAUUGGACACCAAAAGUUCUGCUCUGAAAUCCAAAUGUUCAAAAAGGCAAAGUAUAAGACGUAUAAGGACCAACAAUGAAUCAUCUAGAGACAAACCAGAAAAUAUAUCAAAUGAACAGAAAUGGGCCAUUUGAGAUUUUUAAAAGAUCUCUGCAACUGUCAUGUAUAAUAAGCUCACCUGAGCUGAAAGUUAUUAUAUGGUUUUACUGAUAUGCAAGCAUUUUGACAUAUACAUUGUUGAUUGUAUAAAAUUGUUAACUCCGUCCCAUGGACAAUUUUUGUUCCUCGCAAGAGGUUCAUUCAUAUUUUGAUGUAGGUUUAUUAUCCAUGUAUAAAGAGUUGUUUAACACUUCUUGAGAACUGCAAAGCUCAAUAUGUGAUAUGACUGUAAAAUCAUUGCAAAAUAGCUUGAUGUAUUGUUGUAGUAUGAUGAACCUAAAAAUAUGCUGGGUAUUUUUUUAAAUACAGGAUCUGAUAUUACUUGUUCAACUCAUACUGUUAUGUAAAAGAAUAUUCAUUGUGUAUUUUUUUAUUGUUGAAUUUUUUUUAUGCUGAUCAAUUAUAGAUUAAAUUCGGCCAUUAUGAUUUUCAAUUUUUGUCAUAUUGGCAUGUAACCAAGUCAUACUUUUUUUAUCUCAAUUUAUUUACAAAUAUGUUUAAGUUUAUUUCCAGUAAUUAGUGCAUACAUCUCUAUAGCAUAAUAGAACUGAAGACAAUAGGAAGUUAUUUAUUUUUAAAGGGAGCUCUGUUGGCAGUUGGUUGCAGAUAUUGAUACCCAAGUAAGAGAAAGGUGGCGUCUCUGACCGAUCCUUUUGCUCUUGCUUGUGGGCGAGUGAGGCUUCCCUGUCAGUUUCUUACAGAUGCAAGAAAUAAACAAGACUUGAUAAGGCAUUUCUGAGUAAAAUAUUGGGGAAACUGUUUUCUUUUUAUGAUAAGUAAGAUUGAGUUGAAUUUUUAUAGUGUCAUAACUUUUUUAAAUUUUGUACAUGCAUAUGCUUGAUCUUAUUCCAGACCUUAUUAGGAUAGACUAGAAGAAUUCUAUUGAAUUUCCAUGAUUUAAAUUUACCAUUUCGCCAAAUUUUGAUAAUCAAUUAUUGUUUGCAUUGGAAGUGUGUGUAAAUUAAAAUUACUUUAUAUACGUUCCAAAAUGUUAACUGAAUAGUCUGGUCAUUAGAAUAUGUAUUUUUCUUUUCUGUAUAAUAAAUUUUCAAUAUUAUAAUGUAAAACCUAGGGAAUUUUUUUUAAAAUCACAUGAAGUGUUUAAAAUUAGAGAUGCACAUGUACAUCCUAUUAUUGAACAAUUUGUUUAUUCAAUUUAGUAUAAUUUGGUAUUUGUAUGCAUCAUAUAUAUAAAUAUAUAGGGUUUUUUCAAUGCUAUUACAUAUAAUAUGAUUGUUAAUAUAUAUCUUCUCUGAAGUGGUUUUCAUGGAAACUCUUAUCUAUUUGCAGUUAUGAACUAUAGAGUAUGUAUGUAGUAUGUAUGUUUCUAUGAAAACAUGCUAUUUUCAAAAUACAUGUACUUAGGAAAGAGAAUUUGUGUGUGCGUGUGUAUGUAUUUUAGUGACCAGUAAAUAAGUAAAAAAAAAUUGAUUACUUCAGUAUUGUCAACUUUCAACAAUUGCUUUUCUUUAUCCACAUGCAUUAUAUAGAAAAAAUGACUUUGUGUUGUAAUUUAUGUUGUAUAUGAAAAUACGCAAGUUAAGCUAGAAUAUGUUAUUUGCAGACCAUGCAGCAAUUUUUAUUGGUCUGUUUCAGUUGUGUUUUUUUUUCCUACUAGUCUAUAUAGAUUCCAUUAUUUCCAUUUAAUGUGUAUUAGCCUGCAUUUGCUUAAGUCAAAUGUGCAUUUCACAAUUCCAAAUUUGGACAUUUUACCUAAGUAUUUUUUAAGAACUAUAUCAGAAAUUGUAAUGGCAUCUAUUCCAUAUGUAUCUGAUCAUGACGUACGUAUUGUAAUUUUCUAAAUUGUGACUUUUAUGCUUAAAACUUUGAAAUGUUUUGCUCUGUAAGAAUACAUGUAUUUAUUUUUUUACAUCAUUGAGACUUUAACAUGCAAUAAAAUCGAAUCUU